ACGACACGUACUCCGCAUUGCAGCGCAGGAUCUUGCACUGAGAAGAGCUGCAGUUAUAACCCCUCUCUCAUCCGAUAACUGAGUGCAACCCACGCAUGCACAACAACACCUGCUUGCACGGAGUCCACAGCUCUUGAGUAUUUCCAAACCUGGCUGAGGAAUCACUUUUCCCGUUAACCUUCCCUUUGCACAUUUAGAAGUUCUCAGUCUCUGGACGAGGAGGGGACUUGGCGAGGGGCCUGCCUCCCCUGGGGUAAGGGUAUGCCUAGGGGACGGGCACAGGAGGGAGAGUAGGACCGCAGGUCUGGAGUUGUGGGGAGAAAUCAUUUUUGACGAGGAGUGGCCACCAUCCUUGGAAGCCCAAUGCCAAGGGCACCGCUAAGCGGGGAUGGGGUAGACGAAUGUCAUGACUAAUCAUGUGAGGCUAAAUUUGGCCUUGAUGAGAAAACCACAGACUCAGGGGUGUGGGACACUCCUGCUAAGGAAGGCUGCCUCCUCUGAAGCCUGGAGGGAACCAGGUGAAGAGAGAGCUGGAACUGCCCGAGGGGAGCCCGAGGCUUAAACUUCGAGUGGCUCGAGGCCAGAAAGAAAUCAGACAGAAGGAGGAAUGCAGAUUGGGGCACCUUAGCCUGGAAGAGAUCGUAGCUUUUGGACCAGAGAUAUCAGUUGCAAUUCUGUGAAAGUCUCACUUCAAUCCAAAAGCGUAUUAAAGGAAUUGCAAUUUCA